CAUGCAAGUCGAACGGGCAGCACGGGGGCAACCCUGGUGGCGAGUGGCGAACGGGUGAGUAAUACAUCGGAACGUGUCCUGUAGUGGGGGAUAGCCCGGCGAAAGCCGGAUUAAUACCGCAUACGAUCUACGGAAGAAAGCGGGGGAUCUUCGGACCUCGCGCUGCAGGGGCGGCCGAUGGCAGAUUAGCUAGUUGGCCGGGGUAAAGGCCUACCAAGGCGACGAUCUGUAGCUGGUCUGAGAGGACGACCAGCCACACUGGGACUGAGACACGGCCCACACUCCUACGGGGAGGCAGCAGUGGGGAAUUUUGGACAAUGGGGGCAACCCUGAUCCAGCAAUGCCGCGUGUGUGAAGAAGGUCUUCGGGUUGUAAAGCACUUUUGUCCGGAAAGAAAACUUCGUUCCCUAAUAUGGAUGGAGGAUGACGGUACCCGAAGAAUAAGC
rnacentral:rRNA from 1 species